rnacentral:rRNA from 1 species
UACGGAGGGAGCUAGCGUUGUUCGGAAUUACUGGGCGUAAAGCGCACGUAGGCGGCUAUUCAAGUCGGGGGUGAAAGCCCGGGGCUCAACCCCGGAACUGCCCUCGAAACUAGGUAGCUAGAAUCUUGGAGAGGCGAGUGGAAUUCCGAGUGUAGAGGUGAAAUGCGUAGAUAUCGGGAGGAACACCAGUGGCGAAGGCGGAGACCUGGGCCGAUACUGACGCUGAGAUGCGAAAGCGUGGGGAGCAAACAGG